rnacentral:rRNA from 1 species
CCCUAUUAUUAGGAGAAAAAAAUCAUUUGGGAGUAAGAAUUAAAUCUGAAAACUAUCCAGAAUGGCGGUUUUUUUUAUUAUCAGAUAAAUGUGUUUUUAAAACGAAAUUACACGAAAAUCUUUCUUUCUCUUGAAAAGUUCAUUCUGUACACCGCCGUCUGAAGGGUCAAAAAAAAGGUCCAACCCUAAAUUUACAAUUCAUUGUAAAAAUAAGUCAGGUUAGGUGCAGACCAUGGGAAAGACAAAAUGCAUUUCUCUAAAACGUUCAAAAUACAAGUUGAAAAAUUUGUGUUAAGAUGAAUUUGAUAGUAAGGAAAUUUCAUUAUAAUUUUCUGAAUUUAUACCAAAAAAAUGUACACAUCGCCCGUCGCU